ACUCCAUGGUACCACCCUGAACGCGCCCGAUCUCGUCUGAUCUCGGAAGCUAAGCAGGGUCGGGCCCGGUCAGUACUUGGAUGGGAGAAGUCUGGGUUUUAAGAGUU
rnacentral:rRNA from 1 species